rnacentral:rRNA from 1 species
CUCGUAGGCGGUUUGUCACGUCGGGAGUGAAAACUCAGGGCUCAACCCUGAGCGUGCUUCCGAUACGGGCAGACUAGAGGUAUGCAGGGGAGAACGGAAUUCCUGGUGUAGCGGUGGAAUGCGCAGAUAUCAGGAGGAACACCGGUGGCGAAGGCGGUUCUCUGGGCAUUACCUGACGCUGAGGAGCGAAAGCAUGGGGAGCGAACAGGAUUAGAUACCCUGGUAGUCCAUGCCGUAAACGUUGGGCGCUAGGUGUGGGGACCUUCCACGGUCUCCGUGCCGCAGCUAACGCAUUAAGCGCCCCGCCUGGGGAGUACGGCCGCAAGGCUAAA